UUGACCUCAAAUCAGGUAGGACUACCCGCUGAACUUAAGCAUAUCAAUAAGCGGAGGAAAAGAAACUAACAAGGAUUCCCCUAGUAACUGCGAGUGAAGCGGGAAAAGCUCAAAUUUGAAAUCUGGCAGUCUUUUUUUUCUUC
rnacentral:rRNA from 1 species